GAACUGCGAUAAGUAAUGUGAAUUGCAGAAUUCAGUGAAUCAUCGAGUCUUUGAACGCACAUUGCGCCCCCUGGCAUUCCGGGGGGCAUGCCUGUCCGAGCGUCAUUGCUGCCCUUCAAGCCCGGCUUGUGUGUUGGGUCGUCGUCCCCUCCGGGGGACGGGCCCGAAAGGCAGCGGCGGCACCGCGUCCGAUCCUCGAGCGUAUGGGGCUUUGUCACCCGCUCGAUAAGGACCGGCCGGGCGCCAGCCGGCGUCUCCAACCUUUUUUUCUCAGGUUGACCUCGGAUCAGGUAGGGAUACCCGCUGAACUUAAGC
rnacentral:misc_RNA from 1 species